rnacentral:rRNA from 1 species
ACCUCAAAUUAGGUAAGGGUACCCGCUGAACUUAAGCAUAUCAAUAAGCGGAGGAAAAGAAACUAACCAGGAUUCCUUAGUAACGGCGAGUGAAGCGGGAAUGGCUCAAAUUUUAAAUCUGAUCGGUCCUCCGAUCCGAAUUGUAAUCUAAAGAAGCGUUUACAGCGUCCUCUCGGGUAUAGGUCCCUUGGAAUAGGGCAUCAUAGAGGGUGAGAAUCCCGUCUGUGACACGAGUUCGGGGUGCGAUACGUUACGCUUUCGACGAGUCGAGUUGUUUGGGAUUGCAGCUCAAAAUGGGUGGUAAAUUCCAUCUAAGGCUAAAUAAUUGCAAGAGACCGAUAGCGAACAAGUACCGUGAGGGAAAGAUGAAAAGAACUUUGAAAAGAGAGUUAAACAGUACGUGAAAUUGUUGAAAGGGAAACGAUUGAAGCCAGUCAUGCCGGUGGGAAAUCAGCUCCCGGGGUAACCAGGGAAGUGCACUUUCUCGCAAGGCAGGUUAGCGUCAGUUUCGCCAGUCGUAAAAAGUCCGUCGGAAGGUGGCUCCAUUCGGAGUGUUAUAGCCAGCGGUCAAUGCGACGUGCGGGAUUGAGGAUUGCAGCGGGUGCCCUUCGGGGCUAAGUGCCUGGCCCUUGUACGAGAUCGUCUCGGUAGCAGCAUGCUGGUGACGAGCACGAUUCGCGGACACGGGGUUUAGCGUCACGGUAAACUCGUUAAGGAUGCUGACGUAAUGGCUUCAAACGACCCGUCUUGAAACACGGACCAAGGAGUCUAACAUAUGUGCGAGUGUUU